AUUGAACGCUGGCGGCAGGCCUAACACAUGCAAGUCGAACGAGUGGCGGACGGGUGAGUAAUGUCUGGGAAACUGCCUGAUGGAGGGGGAUAACUACUGGAAACGGUAGCUAAUACCGCAUACCAUCAGAUGUGCCCAGUUGGGAUGAGCAUGUUGGUGGGGUAACGGCUCACCAAGGCGACGAUCCCUAGCUGGUCUGAGAGGGGGAAAAGCCACACUGGAACGGAGACACGGCCCAGACGCCUACGGGAGGCAGCAGGGGGGAAUAUUGCACAAGGGGCGCAAGCCUUAUGCAGCCAUGCCGCGUGUAUGAAGAAGGCCUUCGGGUUGUAAAGUACUUUCGGCGGGGAGGCGGUACCCGCAGAAGAAGCACCGGCUAACUCCGUGCCAGCAGCCGCGGUAAUAC
rnacentral:rRNA from 1 species